rnacentral:ncRNA from 1 species
CUGAAGAGCGCGUUCGGGUCACUUGCGGACUGCAACACCCGAUCUCUCUCCUGGUGCCGCCGUCGAUGGCGACACCCGCGGAGGGAGAGCGCGUCACCAUCAG